UACGUAGGGGGCGAGCGUUGUCCGGAUUUAUUGGGCGUAAAGAGCUCGUAGGCGGCUUGGCAAGUAGGGUGUGAAACCUCCAGGCUCAACCUGGAGACGCCACUCGAUACUGCCAUGGCUAGAGUACUGUAGGGGCAGGCGGAAUUCCGGGUGUAGCGGUGGAAUGCGUAGAGAUCCGGAGGAAGACCGGUGGCGAAGGCGGCCUGCUGGGCAGUUACUGACACUGAGGCGCGACAGCGUGGGGAGCAAACAGG
rnacentral:rRNA from 1 species